rnacentral:rRNA from 1 species
UACAGAGGGGGCAAGCGUUGUUCGGAAUUACUGGGCGUAAAGGGUGCGUAGGCGGUUUGACAAGUCUGAUGUGAAAUCCCGCAGCUUAACUGCGGAACUGCAUUGGAAACUGUUUGACUAGAGGAAUGGAGGGGAGACUGGAAUACUUGGUGUAGCAGUGAAAUGCGUAGAUAUCAAGUGGAACACCAGUGGCGAAGGCGAGUCUCUGGACAUUUCCUGACGCUGAGGCACGAAAGCCAGGGGAGCAAACGGG